UCUUCUCUUUUGAGAUUCCAAUGACAUUUUCAGGUAUCAUUCUUUUAGGGUUUUGAAAUAACUCCAUUGCUGUGUUCUCAGAUUAACAAAAGAGGGGGACUUGGUGGAAGAGAAGAUUAAGAAGCUUGAUGCUGCAAAUACAGAGAACAGAUAAAAAAGACGAGACCCGGUCCAUCUCAGGAAGCUAUCAAAGCUCGGGCUAUGCGGGUUCUGAAGCAGAAGAAAAUCAGGUACGAAGGACAACGUGACAUGCUGUAUAAUCAGACGUUCAACCUAGAUCAAGUUUCGUUCGCCGCCGAAGGCCUCAAAGACGCUCAACAAACUAUGACGGUGCUGAGAUCUGCCAACAAUGAAUUGAAAGGAAUGAUGAAAACAGUGAAGAUUCAAGAUGUAGAUGUAUGUUGAACUUCUUAACAAGACCUCUCUUUUCUUCAAGAAUCUCGGUAUUAGUUAGCCCCCCCCCCCCCCC